rfam:Myotis lucifugus cont2.20313, whole genome shotgun sequence.
GAGACACCCUUAUGGGGUAGAACUUGCUUCAGUGGGGCUUUGGUGCUCACUGACUCUGCUUCUUGAGUGUGUCCCU